UUCUCACUUUUUCUCUUUUGUUUUAAAAAUACUGAUUGGAAAAUUGAAAAAUGACGUCUUUAAAGUACCAUCCCAAAAAAAAAUUAAUUUUAGAAAAGGGUCUACAUCGUAUACAUCGGAGCAAGAUUUCUGGUAGAUUUUUUGUUCACAGUAUGAAAAAACACAUCUUUGUAAAACCAAUACAUUCUUUGCUACACAAAAAAUCUAAAAUAACUGUUAGUAGAUAUUUUGAUAUAAUUGAUACUAAACUAUGCAACUCUAUACCACCUUGCAUUAUGAAUCUCCCGAUUAAAUUACAGUAAACUCGCUCAAGACACUGUUUUCUGUCAGUCCUUAGACAUUUCCUAGUCAAUAUAAGAAUCGCCUAUUAAGAUGCUCAGUUUUUCUCUAUCUAAUUGGAUAAGACGCUCUUUUGUUCAGCAGAUUACAAUACAUUUUAGUAGUGUACUAAUAUAAAACUUGUUUUCUUGCCACUAAAUGCUAUAUCUAAGUUACAACCCCUGGAUCAGAGUAUCAUAAAAGUGAUAAAACAAAAGUACCAAAAAAAAUUAUUCUAGUGAUACUUAAUAGACAUGGAGUACUAACCAAAUUUCAUACAAAAUAGACAUGUACCUAUAAAUGUAUUUCUUUUUUAAUUAAAUUCAAU